GCUAAUAGAGAGUUGGGGGUUGUAUCUAGAUAUUUACGUUCAGUGUUCAGUGGGAGCCGCCCUUCAUUCACCCACAUGUUACCAACUGCUCGCCUUCGCGCCACUUUCCUAACCCCGCUAUCAUUGUUAACCAGCCUUUAUCCCGGCUAUAAAUUCACCCGCGAGCCGCUCCGCUUUCACUCUACGUUUUCGUUUUCAUCCGCAGGUAGAAAAGUUUCGGAAUAGUUGCGUAUUUAUCUCUUUUUGUCGGUAAAGAGCUUCUCUCCAACACACACGGAGGAGCCGAAGAGAGGCAGCGAAGAUGGAGGAUGUCGGCUGAUCCACCAUGAUGAAGUGCAGGACCCCCAAACUAAAUUGCAGAGGGAGCAGUGUGACCAUCUUUACCCAUGCAGCGGUGCUGUAAUCAGUCUGUGUAUUGUCAAAGUGCUUACAGUGCAGGUAGUACUAUGUAAUACCUACUGCAGUGGAGGCACUUACAGCAAUACCCUGACACUGAUGUGCAGAUUCUUGUGAUGUUACAUGUCAUUUUUUUGAAUAACUGUCUUUGUGCUAAGGUGCAUCUAGUGCAGAUAGUGAAAUAGACUAGCACCUACUGCCCUAAGUGCUCCUUCUGGCAUAAGGGGCUGUGAUAUGCGCCACCAGACCAUUUUUUAAUUUCUAAUUGGGCUCAAAUAUCUUGCAGUUCUCUGCUAGUUUUGCAUAGUUGCACUACAAGAAUAGAUGAGUUGUGCAAAUCUAUGCAAAACUGAUGGUGGCCUGCUUGCUCUCCACCUGUUUAGAUUUUUUGGUUUCGGGGUGUCACAUCAAACACAAUCUGAUUGUAAAUACACAUGUAACACUGUUGAGUAUUUCCCAGUUCUCAUCAAGUGACUCAGUUUCAGCAGUACUAAAGUGCUUAUAGUGCAGGUAGUGUUUUUCUCCUAUCUACUGCAAUGUAAGCACUUGAAGUACUUCUAACUAACUGCCAUCUUUCUGAAGCUCGGCUGUUUACAAUCACGAAAGACCUUUUAAUCAUCGCCUGGUCAGUUUUGCUGGUUUGCAUUCAGCUUUAACUGAUGUUUGCUGUGCAAAUCCAUGCAAAACUGACUAUGUUGAUGAACUAUGUUCUGCCAAGUGGGCUUGCUUUUUCAUCAAGGAUAGGAUGUGUUUGAUGUUUCGGAUAUUUGGGGAUGUCCCUUUCUGUGCAGGUGGGGAUUAGUAGCAAUGCUGUCUAUCUGGAGGUAUUGCACUUGUCCCGGCCUGUAUAGGAGCGAGGAGAUGAAGCUGACCUGGAUCAUGACCCGAGUGACUAGAAAAUGCUGCGCUAAUGUCCUGUAAUGUUUUGGUCUAUAUGAUUUGCAUGCGAUUAUUGAUGGGGAAUGUUUUUAAUUUGGUUAAUUGUAAUGUUUCCUGAAAUAUAUUACAUUUUAAACACUUUU